GACGAACGCUGGCGGCGUGCUUAACACAUGCAAGUCGAACGGAAAGGCCCUGCUUUUGUGGGGUGCUCGAGUGGCGAACGGGUGAGUAACACGUGAGUAACCUGCCCCUGACUUUGGGAUAACUUCAGGAAACUGGGGCUAAUACCGGAUAGGAGCUCCUGCUGCAUGGUGGGGGUUGGAAAGUUUCGGCGGUUGGGGAUGGACUCGCGGCUUAUCAGCUUGUUGGUGGGGUAGUGGCUUACCAAGGCUUUGACGGGUAGCCGGCCUGAGAGGGUGACCGGCCACAUUGGGACUGAGAUACGGCCCAGACUCCUACGGGAGGCAGCAGUGGGGAAUAUUGCACAAUGGGCGGAAGCAUGAUGCAGCAACGCCGCGUGCGGGAUGACGGCCUUCGGGUUGUAAACCGCUUUCGCCUGUGACGAAGCGUGAGUGACGGUAAUGGGUAAAGAAGCACCGGCUAACUACGU
rnacentral:rRNA from 1 species